ensembl:lncRNA
UGGCACUGUCCGGAGUCUCAUUUCCACUUCCUUAUUUAUAUUAUCUUUAAUCUCUCUCUCUCUCUCUCUCAGAGGAAGUGGGCGUCUCUGUCACAUUCAUCUGUUCAUGUUAAACAUGUAACCAGGAAAGAAACACUAAAACUCAUCUGAACACACAUCGAGAGCUUCAGAAGAACUGAAUCUACUAACAACAGAGAAGAUCACUGAAGAAGAGAGAAGAAUGAAGAUCAUCUGGACUUUCACUCUGCUGAUGAUUCCUGGAGAUCUGGAUCUGAUCUCUGUGCUGAAGAGACGUCUGUGAAGGAGAGCAGAAGAUGGAGCGCUGAGGGACAGAUGCAGCUGUAUGAUGACAGAGAGCAGCAGCUCCUGACGGGAAUCAUCAGUCAUGUGACUCAACAACAUUCAGCUGAAUACUGGUGUGGAGUUCAGUCUGAUCAAGGACACAAGAGCUUCAUCACACGAGUCCUCGUCAGUGUUACAGAUGCAAACAGUCACAGAAUAUCUACAUCAUCAUCAACAUCAACAUCAUCAUCAUCAUCAUCUUCAUCUUUCUCAUCAGGAGAAUCUCCACUGGUCUCAUCUGUGUCUCCUAUAACAGGCUCUUCUCUGAUCAUCAGUGUGUCUGUGCUUCUGCUUCUGAUCUUCACUGUGAUUCUGAUAGUGAUCAUCACUCUCUGGAGGAGACGGCAGUUGCACAACGCUCAUUCCUCAUUCAAAAGAUCUCAAAGGACACCAGCAAACAUUGACACGGCUUCUCAUUAUCAUUGUGAUUACGAGGAGACUGAAUACAAUCACAGACAAUUACCCACAAACCCCUCUGAUUCUACUAAUGCAAUCUAUGCUAAUCCAGAAUUACCCACAAACCCCUCUGAUUCUACUAAUACCAUCUAUGCUACUCCACAAUUACCCAUAAACCCUUCUGAUUCUACUAAUACAAUCUAUGCUAAUGCAGAAUUUCCAUAAACCCCUCUGAUUCUUCCAACAGCGUUCACACUUUAACAUCGCAGAAGUCCACGUCUUUCAGUCAUUAUCAUCCACUGAGGGUCUGAAUGACACAGACGGUCUUAAUGAUGUUCCUUCAACAAUUAUCUGUCUUUACAUUAAUGUCUGUCAUUGCAUGCAGCUGUGUGACUACAGUAAAUAUAUGUUAGCGAUCUGCUGUUUUUAAUUUAUUUGCUCAGUAAACACAACCAUUGCACCUGCUGAAGGGAUUUAUGUAAUUUUCUCAAUAUGUUUAAAACAUGGCAUGUAUUUGUGAACAAAAUAAAAGAUGACUGUUCUUUAUGACA